rnacentral:rRNA from 1 species
UGGGGAAUAUUGGACAAUGGGCGAAAGCCUGAUCCAGCAACGCCGCGUGAGGGAUGACGGCCUUCGGGUUGUAAACCUCUUUCAGUACCGACGAAGCGCCAAUAACGGUGGUGACGGUAGGUACAGAAGAAGGACCGGCCAACUACGUGCCAGCAGCCGCGGUAAUACGUAGGGUCCGAGCGUUGUCCGGAAUUAUUGGGCGUAAAGGGCUCGUAGGCGGUCUGUUGCGUCGGGAGUGAAAACUUACAGCUUAACUGUGAGCGUGCUUCCGAUACGGGCAGACUUGAGGUAUUCAGGGGAGAACGGAAUUCCUGGUGUAGCGGUGAAAUGCGCAGAUAUCAGGAGGAACACCGGUGGCGAAGGCGGUUCUCUGGGAAUAUCCUGACGCUGAGGAGCGAAAGUGUGGGGAGCGAACAG